CCUCCUGUUCCACCUUGCCCCCCCCAGUGAAGCCGCAGGAUUUUCCUUAUAUGAUUGGGCCCCGGGGCUUGGCAGCGCCGCUGGCCCGGGGCCUGAGAGGAUUAUAACACGUUUCUGGCGAGGUGGGGGCCGGGAACGGGGG
rnacentral:snoRNA from 1 species